CAGGUCCCAUACCUUGGUUCAUGAUGGCGGAGUUAUUUUCACAAGGCCCGAGACCUGCUGCUACAAGCAUUGCUGGAUCAGCAAACUGGCUAUCAAGCUUCAUUAUCGCAAUCACCUUUCCUUCCAUUCAGGUAAAACUUGGAAUCAUUUUAGGAUACAUCAUACUGCGAUUCAGUCAUUGAAGUAAAGCAAACACUAAUUAUGUGUAUAUGUUUUCCAGGAUGCAUUGUUCCCAUACGUGUUCAUAGUCUAUAUGGUAUUUAUAAUCAUUCUAUGGGCUCUCAUUUACGUCUUUGUUCCAGAAACCAAAGGAAAGACUUUUGAACAAAUAUCUCGUGAACUGCGACGAAAAUUGAAACAUUCUAUUAAUAAUGAGCACAAUGAUAUAAACGACGAGAAUUAAAAUUUAAAUAAAUGUAUUUAUUAGACUAG
rnacentral:lncRNA from 1 species